rnacentral:rRNA from 1 species
UACGUAGGGUGCGAGCGUUAUUCGGAAUUACUGGGCGUAAAGCGCGCGCAGGCGGUUCGUUAUGUCUUCUGUGAAAUCCCCGGGCUCAACCUGGGAAUGGCAGUGGAAACUGGCGAGCUUGAGUGUGGCAGAGGGGGGUGGAAUUCCGCGUGUAGCAGUGAAAUGCGUAGAGAUGCGGAGGAACACCGAUGGCGAAGGCAACCCCCUGGGCUAACACUGACGCUCAGGCACGAAAGCGUGGGGAGCAAACAGG